rnacentral:piRNA from 1 species
UACAAAAGUUGUACUACAACAGGAGGUCAU